GGAUACGGUAUAUUCGCCUCUUCCUCUGCUCGCGCAACAAACAGACCCCGUGCGCCGCACUUUCUUCCCUCGUCAGUUCGGCGUACUCGUGUCGCAGAUCCUGUCAACUCAAGUCGCCGGAGCAAUCGAGAAAAAAUAGGGCAGUUGGACUAGGGUAUCCGGCUAGGUAUUUGAGAAUUGUUGGCCUGUUGGGAAUUGAAUUAUUUGGAAUUUGGAAUAACUAUUCAUUGCGUGCGGAGGAGAUUGCAAUAUUCUUGGAGCGCCGGCCGGAUGCACAAGCAGGUUAGCAGAUUUUAUGGCAAGGUUUCUAGGGAAAAGGGGGACCUAAAAUUGAUUCAAGACAAUUGACACCUAAUGCCGCAUUUUUCUUGGAGACUCGAUGAUCCACUAUUGUUCAUUUCCCUCCUAUCAACUACCAUUUUAAUUCAAACUUGUCAUUUUGGAUUUGUGUAAGUAUU